CCUACGGGUGGCUGCAGUGGGGAAUAUUGCACAAUGGGGGAAACCCUGAUGCAGCGACGCCGCGUGAGCGAUUAAGUAUUUCGGUAUGUAAAGCUCUAUCAGCAGGGAAGAAAAUGACGGUACCUGACUAAGAAGCCCCGGCUCACUACGUGCCAGCAGCCGCGGUCAUACGUAUGGUGCAAGCGUUAUCCGGAUUUACUGGGGGUAACGGGAGCGCAGUCGGCACUGCAAGCCUGAUGGGAAAGCCCGCGGACCAACCGCGGGACGGCAUUGGUAACUGCCGGGCUGGAGUGGCGGAGAGGUAGGCGGAAUGCCUAGUGUAGCGGUGAAAUGCGUAGAUAUUAGGAGGAACACCAGUGGCGAAGGCGGCCUACUGGACGGUGACUGACGCUGAGGCUCGAAAGCGUGGGGAGCAAACAGGAUUAGAUACCCCUGUAGUC
rnacentral:rRNA from 1 species